GCCCUGCUAGCUCAGUCGGUAGAGCGUUGGACUUGUAAUCCGACAAUCAAGGGUUCGGUUCCCUUGUCGGGCG